rnacentral:rRNA from 1 species
UAAGGAAUAUUGGUCAAUGGGGGCAACCCUGAACCAGCCAUGCCGCGUGCAGGAAGACAGCCCUAUGGGUCGUAAACUGCUUUUAUUGGGGAAUAACCUCCUGUAUGUAUACAGGACUGAAUGUACCCAAGGAAUAAGGAUCGGCUAACUCCGUGCCAGCAGCCGCGGUAAUACGGAGGAUCCAAGCGUUAUCCGGAUUUAUUGGGUUUAAAGGGUGCGUAGGCGGCUUAUUAAGUCAGGGGUGAAAGACGGUGGCUCAACCAUCGCAGUGCCUUUGAUACUGAUGAGCUUGAUUGCAGCUGAGGUAGGCGGAAUGUGACAAGUAGCGGUGAAAUGCAUAGAUAUGUCACAGAACACCGAUUGCGAAGGCAGCUUACUAAAGUGUAAAUGACGCUGAGGCACGAAAGCGUGGGGAUCAAACA